rnacentral:rRNA from 1 species
AGUGGCGAAAGGGAGAGGAACACGUGGAUACCUACCUUCGGAUUUUGGAUAGCCGCGGGAAACUGCGGGUAAUACAAAAUGAUGUCUCCGGACCAAAGGUGUGAUUCCGUCCGAAGACGGGUCCGCGUCCUAUUAGCUUGUUGGCGGGGUAAUGGCCCACCAAGGCAAUGAUGGGUACGAGGCAUGAGAGUGUGCCCUCGCUCACUGGGACUGAGAUACUGCCCAGACACCUACGGGUGGCUGCAGUCGAGAAUCUUCCGCAAUGGGCGCAAGCCUGACGGAGCGACGCCGCGUGUGGGAUGAAGGCCUUCGGGUUGUAAACCACUGUCGUAGAGGAGGAAUGGCCAUAGGGUUCUCUCUAUGGUUUGACCUAUUCUAGGAGGAAGGAUGGGCUAAGUCCGUGCCAGCAGCCGCGGUAAGACGGACCAUCCAAACGUUAUUCGGAAUUACUGGGCUUAAAGGGUGCGUAGGCGGCGCGGAAAGUUCGGUGUGAAAUCCCUCGGCUUAACCGAGGAAUGGCGCUGAAAACUACCGUGCUCGAGGAAGACAGAGGUAAGCGGAACAUCGGGUGGAGCGGUGAAAUGCGUUGAUAUCCGAUGGAACACCGGUGGCGAAAGCGGCUUACUGGGUCUUUUCUGACGCUGAGGCACGAAAGCUAGGGUAGCGAACGGGAUUAGAUACCCCGGUAGUCCUAGCCGUAAACGAUGAGCACUUGA